AGCUUUGGAACGGAUUGAAGUACAAGAUAGAAAUCACCAAGCAUUAGCUUCACAAGUGGAAAGUAUGAAAAAGAUGAUAGAAGAAUUUACUCGUGCACAACAGGGACCACCACAUGAUCCCUAGCUCUGCGGACCGAAGGUGUAGAAUGACGCGCAUACGCACCUCGUUGGAAGACUUUUUCUUAUGUUUAUGUUUUUUCUAUUUUGAGAACUAUAUUUAUUGUAGUGAACUAUAUUUUCGUAUUAUUAAUUUUAAUUCUAUUUUUUUAA